GCUGGGCAUGGUGGCGCAUGCCAGUAAUCCCAGCGACUGGGAAGCCUGAGGUUUGAAGAUCCCAAGUUCAAGGUCAGCCUUAGU
rnacentral:sRNA from 1 species